rnacentral:rRNA from 1 species
AAAGAUUAAGCCAUGCAUGUCUAAGUAUAAACGAUCUAAUCGUGAAACCGCGAAUGGCUCAUUAUAACAGCUAUAAUUUACUUGAUCUUGACACUAUCCUACUUGGAUAACUGUGGUAAUUCUAGAGCUAAUACAUGCAUUAAAGCUCUGACCUCACGGGAAGAGUGCACUUAUUAGAACAAAACCAAGCGGCUUCGGCUGUUUUCGGUUGACUCAUAGUAACUGAGCUGAUCGCACGGUCUUGCACCGGCGACGUGUCUUUCAAGUAUCUGCCGUAUCAACUUUCGAUGGUAGUGUAUCUGACUACCAUGGUGAUCACGCGUAACGGAGGAUAAGGGUUCGGCUCCGGAGAGUUCGCCUGAGAAAUCGCGAACACAUCUAAGGAAGGCAGCAGGCGCGAAAAUUACCCACUCUCAGCACGAGGAGGUAGUGACGAAAAAUAACGAGACCGUUCUCUUAUGAAGCCGGUCAUCGGAAUGGGUACAAUUUAAACCCUUUAACGAGUAUCUAUGAGAGGGCAAGUCUGGUGCCAGCAGCCGCGGUAAUUCCAGCUCUCAAAGUGCAUAGAAUUAUUGCUGCGGUUAAAAAGCUCGUAGUUGGAUCUGUGCCAUAGGACGUGGUCCACCUUCUGGGUGCGUACUAUGUUCCUAGGCUUUUUGCUGGUUUUCCCGUCGUAGCCUUCAUUGGUUGCGGCGGGUGGCUGGCGAGUUUACUUUGAGAAAAUCAGAGUGCUCAACACAGGCGUAUCGCUUGAAUGAUUGUGCAUGGAAUAAUAGAAAAGGAUUUCGGUCCUCUUUUAUUGGUUUUGUGGACUGAGAUAAUGGUUAACAGGGACCAGCGGGGGCAUUCGUAUCGCUGCGUGAGAGGUGAAAUUCUUGGACCGUAGCGAGACGCCCUACUGCGAAAGCAUUUGCCAAGAAUG